GAUGAACGCUAGCGGGAGGCCUAACACAUGCAAGCCGAGCGGUAUUGCUUCUUCGGAAAUGAGAGAGCGGCGUACGGGUGCGUAACACGUGUGCAACCUGCCUUUACCUGGGGGAUAGCCUUUCGAAAGGAAGAUUAAUACUCCAUAAUAUAUUGAACGGCAUCGUUUAAUAUUGAAAGCUCCGGCGGAUAGAGAUGGGCACGCGCGAGAUUAGCUAGUUGGUGAGGUAACGGCUCACCAAGGAGAUGAUCUUUAGGGGGCCUGAGAGGGUGAUGCCCCACACUGGUACUGGGAAACGGGCCAGACUCCUACGGGAGGGAGCAGUGAGGGAUAUUGGUGAAUGGAUGCAAGCCUGAACCGGCCAUGCCGCGUGAAGGACGACUGCCCUAUGGAUUGUAAACUUCUUUUGUAUAGGGAUAAUCCUACCCUCGAGAGGGUAGCUGAAGGUACUAGACGAAUAAGCACCGGCUAACUACGUG
rnacentral:rRNA from 1 species